CCGAGCUAGUUAAGGCGUCUUUACUUGCUUAAACUACAGGCUGGUAGGUUGCAGAUUCGAAUCCAGGCAGCGACAGUGCGAAAAAAAAUAGUUAAUGGGGCGAUAAAUUGAUCACAUUGUCGUCGCUUGGAUAAGAACAAAAUAAUUGAAUA